UACAGAGGGUGCGAGCGUUAAUCGGAAUUACUGGGCGUAAAGCGUGCGUAGACGGUUAUUUAAGUCGGGUGUGAAAGCCCCGGGCUCAACCUGGGAAUUGCAUUCGAGACUGAAUAGCUAGGGUACGGUAGAGGGAAGUGGAAUUUCCGGUGUAGCGGUGAAAUGCGUAGAUAUCGGAAGGAACAUCAGUGGCGAAAGCGGGUUGCUGGGCUGACACUGACGCUGAAGCGCGAAAGCUAGGGGAGCGAACGGG
rnacentral:rRNA from 1 species